GGAUCAUCUUCUCAUCUUAAUCAUCUCCUGAAGAUCAUUCACUGACAGGCGCAAUUUUGCAACUUCUGCAGUGAUGGCCACAAUGACGACUCUUCUGUUAUUUUGCUCAGUUAUUACUUUAGGCUUUCUUUACGGUGUACAAGGUCAAGAUUGCCCUGUUGGAGCUGAAAUGUCAGAAUGUUAUGGUUGUUGGUCUGAAUGUCCAGUGCCUGAUAUAUCUUGUAUCCAAGCUUGUACAACUGGCUGUGUAUGUACACAGGCUGGAUAUCUAAUAGGUCCUGAUAACAAAUGUAUCCCAAAGGAAGACUGUCCAUAGGUGAAAUAAUAAGAUGAAGGCAAGAAACCUCUGAUCAAAAGGACCACGACAUUGACGUCUCAGAGAAGAUUUGUUCCUAGUCCUGAUAAAAAAUAUGGCUAAAAUAAAAUUGCAUGUGUAAAAUUUCUAACUAUUAUACCCAAUAAACCAUUGAUAGCAUCGUAA